rnacentral:rRNA from 1 species
AUUGAACGCUGGCGGCAGGCCUAACACAUGCAAGUCGAACGGUAACAGGAAGUGCUUGCACAUCGCUGACGAGUGGCGGACGGGUGAGUAAUGCUUGGGAACUUGCCUUUGCGAGGGGGAUAACAGUUGGAAACGACUGCUAAUACCGCAUAAUGUUUUCGAACCAAACGGGGCUUAGGCUCCGGCGCAAAGAGAGGCCCAAGUGAGAUUAGCUAGUUGGUAAGGUAAAGGCUUACCAAGGCGACGAUCUCUAGCUGUUCUGAGAGGAAGAUCAGCCACACUGGGACUGAGACACGGCCCAGACUCCUACGGGAGGCAGCAGUGGGGAAUAUUGCACAAUGGGGGAAACCCUGAUGCAGCCAUGCCGCGUGUGUGAAGAAGGCCUUCGGGUUGUAAAAGCACUUUCAGUUUGUGAGGAAAAGUUAGUAGUUAAUACCUGCUAGCCGUACGUUAACAACAGAAGAAGCAC